AUACGGAGGGUGCAAGCGUUAUCCGGAUUCAUUGGGUUUAAAGGGUUCGCAGGCGGCGUAUUAAGUCAGUGGUGAAAUCCCGAGGCUCAACCUCGGAACUGCCAUUGAUACUGGUAUGCUAGAGUAUAGUUGGCGUUGGCGGAAUGUAUCAUGUAGCGGUGAAAUGCUUAGAUAUGAUACAGAACACCGAUCGCGAAGGCAGCUAACGAAACUAUAACUGACGCUCAGGAACGAAAGCGUGGGGAGCGAACAGGAUUAGAUACCCUAGUAGUCC
rnacentral:rRNA from 1 species